rnacentral:rRNA from 1 species
UACAGAGGGGGCAAGCGUUGCUCGGAAUUACUGGGCGUAAAGCGCGUGUAGGCGGACUGGUGUGUCGGAUGUGAAAUCCCCAGGCUCAACCUGGGAACUGCAUUCGAAACUGCCAGCCUUGAGUGGUGGAGAGGGAAGUGGAAUUCCUGGUGUAGAGGUGAAAUUCGUAGAUAUCGAGGAGGAACACCAGUGGCGAAGGCGGCUUCCUGGACACCAACUGACGCUGAGACGGCGAAAGCGUGGGGAGCAAACAGG